rnacentral:rRNA from 1 species
GACAGAGGAUGCAAACGUUGCUCGGAAUUACUGGGCGUAAAGCGCAUGUAGGCGGCUUGGUAAGUCGGACGUGAAAGCCCGGGGCUCAACCCCGGAAGCGCGCUCGAUACUGCCGAACUUGGGUCCUGAAGAGGAGAGCGGAAUUCCCGGUGUAGAGGUGAAAUUCGUAGAUAUCGGGAGGAACACCAGUGGCGAAGGCGGCUCUCUGGGCAGGUACCGACGCUGAGAUGCGAAAGCGUGGGAAGCAAACAGG